UAAAGCCGACUCUCUCUCUCUAUCUUCUUCUUCCUCUCUACAGAGAACGAAAUGAGCCAAGACGCCAAGAGAAGCGUUCUCGGGACUGUGCCGACGAUGCCGAAUUUCGAUGAGCGGAAAACCUCACCGGCUAUCACCGCCUCCACCGGCAAGCGUGUUUGUUGUGUUGAUCACUGGAUUUGAUAUGAAAAUAGGAAUGUAUUUCAGCGCUCAGUGCUAAUAAGCUUUUAGUAGGUUCGUCAUGCAUGGCGUAAAAACUUGGUAAAGAAAUGUUUGGAGGACGAGAUGCGAGCUACCGUAUCAAGAAGGCUUCAUUAGGAAGUAGAUAACAAAAGUCAACAAAGAGGAACAGAUGGUUUGUUUGCGGAUCUCAUGGAAUAUUUUGUUGAUGCAUCAGAUUUUGUGGAUUAUCUUAAGGCAACUUGGUAUCCUAGAAUUUGUUUAUGGCUUAGGAUGAAGGUCAUUGGCCAAUCAUAUAGUAGCUUACGAAAUCAAUCAGUUUUUUAUAUCUUUUUAUGAUCCAAGUUAAAGUUAUUUGUUAUGUUAAAACAGUCCAUAAAUUUAAGAUUUCAUGUUAAAACAGUCCAUAAAUUUACGACUUUA